GCAUCGGUGGUUCAGUGCUAGAACGCUCGCCUGCCAGCGAGCAGCCCGGGUUCGAUUUCUGCAUUUGGUUCG
rnacentral:tRNA from 1 species